rnacentral:lncRNA from 1 species
UGCUUCCAGCUUCGGGACGAGAUCGAGGCUCUCAUCCGUCGGGGGCGUCUCGGUCGAUAUGUGAGCGACCGACGUCCCCCCGCGGACCCGCGUCCGGCCGACCCGGCUCCUCCGGAGCCUCGGGAGCAGAACCGACCCGUUGCGGGCGUGAUCCAUACUAUCACUGGGGGCUGCUCUCGGCCUGUGAGGAACGCAGGGGGCUCG